rnacentral:rRNA from 1 species
CGGCACGGGUGAGUAACACGUAUGCAACCUGGCCGCCACAGGGGGAUAACCCGCGGAAACGCGGCCUAAUACCCCGUGACGCCACCGGAGGGCAUCCUCCGGUGGCCAAAGGAGCGAUCCGGUGGCGGAUGGGCAUGCGGCGCAUUAGCUAGACGGCGGGGUGACGGCCCACCGUGGCGACGAUGCGUAGGGGUUCUGAGAGGAAGGCCCCCCACACUGGGACUGAGACACGGCCCAGACUCCUACGGGAGGCAGCAG